UAAUACAUCAAAAAAAGACCUAUCAGGUCGC
rnacentral:sRNA from 1 species